rnacentral:rRNA from 1 species
GCAAGUCGAACGGGGUUUUUACUAGUAGCAAUACCUGUAAAAACCUAGUGGCAGACGGGUGCGUAACACGUGAACAAUCUACCUCUUAGUGGGGAAUAAUGCGCCGAAAGGCGUACUAAUACCGCAUGUGGUGGUCUUUCGCAUGAAAGACCUACCAAAGCUGGGGAUCUUCGGACCUGGCGCUAGGAGAGGAGUUCGCGGCCUAUCAGCUUGUUGGUGAGGUAACGGCUCACCAAGGCAAAGACGGGUAGCUGGUCUGAGAGGAUGAUC